rnacentral:rRNA from 1 species
UACAUGGGGUGCAAGCGUUGCUCGGAAUUAUUGGGCGUAAAGCGCACGUAGGCGGUUUGUUAAGUCGGAUGUGAAAUCCCUCGGCUCAACUGAGGAAGUGCAUCCGAAACUGGCAAGCUUGAGUACGAAAGAGGGUCGCGGAAUUCCCGGUGUAGAGGUGAAAUUCGUAGAUAUCGGGAGGAACACCGGUGGCGAAGGCGGCGACCUGGGUCGAUACUGACGCUGAGGAGCGAAAGCGUGGGGAGCGAACAGG